GGCCAGCAGUUGGAAGGGAUCCCAGGGACGGGCUCAGCUACUCAGGGCAGCAGCCAGGCAUCGGUGCAGAGUUGCAACGUUUGGGGCUGACUUUCCAGAAUUACCCAGGAUUGACCUGUGGGAGAUAUCUGGGCCCCCUGUGCCUUGCAAAGCUUCACAUGGGUGAUGAUGUUGAAGACCAGGUGCGGAUCAAUGGGGGCUCCAUGGCAAAUGAGAAACAGAGGAAGAAGAACUAACCUUCCUACCCACCAGUGCUCACUGGCACUCAACCAUAGCCUUGCUCUUGUUUCUGGAGGAAGGGCCAUUGGGAUCAACUUAAGAACAUGGCAGAACAGAGAUGCUUGCUGAAUUAGUUGGUUGAAAGCACAAAAUUAUUUUAGUAGUUGUGCCCCAGUUAAGGUGGCUAAGUCUGCACAUUCAGGAUAGUGUUCCUAGCUGACACAUUGGGCCUAGUGCCUAGUGAACAAGCAGUGGAAUGUGGGGAGCAAAUUAAUACUCAAGGACUGAGGCUUUUGAGGGGACCAGGCCAUCACAGGCAAGCUGCUAUUUUUAUACAGGCAUAGGCCUUAGCAAAAGUGGGUUGAGUUGGUUCCCGAGGCCUUAGGCUAAGAGCGGCUGCAGCUCACCCUGGGCAAAACCGUGCCUGCCUCAGCAUGGGCCACCAGGUUCUCUGAAGAUACCAGCAGGCCUUAGGGCCCCUGUGGACAGGCAUUGCAGAUAUGCUUUGAUUAUAGGGAAAAGAAAGGUUACCCAUAUAUAGACUCU
rnacentral:lncRNA from 1 species